GUGUUCGUCGUCCAGCGGCUUAGGACUCCUCCUCUUCCGGGAGGCAACGCCGGCUCAAAUCCGGCCGGACACACCA
rnacentral:tRNA from 1 species